UCGAGUGAUAUAUAUAUGUAUGCAAGUUAUAGAAUUUACAGCAUCAAACAUGACAAUAUCUGAUUUCCAAAGUCCUCACAAAAGCCACAAUCAUCAAUAAACAAAAAAAAUCUUCUCAGAGCAAUAGAAGAAGAUCAUUUCCUAGAGUUUAGGGAUCAUCCAUGCUCUAACAUUACCUUUGACCUCAACACUAUUCAGAAGCAAAGGGGGGUGGCAACAACGAUUGGGGUAGGGAGGGCUGAGGGCUGUCUUACGAAGAUAGUGAACGGAGAAGAUGAGAUAGGGGGAUUUGUUGAAUCCUAGAUUUUGAUGAUGAAACUGUUAGAACCCUUGCAGAUUCUAAACUUGGGGUUGAUCUCUUUAGGGGAUCGGCCUCCUUGGAACUCUAUAGGGGUUCCUCCCUCUAAGUUGCUGCUCAAAGGCUGCAGAAAAGAUUCAUCUAUUGCUUAUUAAAAGAGGUGGAAUACAUGACUAUUUAUAGAGCUUCUAAACCCUAACUCCUAAUAUGACUCUUACUUAAGACUCCUACUUCUAAACAACUCCUAAUAGGACUCCUACUCAAGACUCCUACUUCUAACCAACUCCUAAUAGGACUCCUACUCAAGACUCCUAUUCCUUUACAACUCCCUAUUCUUCUCUAAGAAAUAACCUCCUAACCCUAGCCGGCUUCUUCACCUCUUUAAUAGGGGUCGGCUAUGGUAGGUUUUACAUGAAUGUCCCUCUCAAUUAGGACUCUCCUAGCUAGAGUCCUAACAGACCCGCCCUCUUCAAAUCAGCCUUGUCCUCGAGGCUGACGAUUCAUGAAUUUUGAGAAUUUGAUCUUCAAGACAUCAUAGUUCUCCCAAGUGGCAUCUUCUGUUAGUAGGUUUGCCCACUGUAUUAACAAUUCAGUAGUGGAUCGUCGUCGUCGAGUCACGAUCCGUCAACCAAUAAUAGCACUUGGCUGAGUCUGAAGUUCUCCUUGGGUAGUCAUAUUUGGUGGGUGGCUUUGGGCUGUCUCCAAGCACCUAUUUACAACUUCCGUUUGGCCGUCGGUUUGUGGGUGAUAUGCCAUACUCCUUUUCAAUUUAGUACCCUGCAUAUGGAAUAACUUUGUCCAAAAUCUGCUCGUGAAGAUACAAGUAGAAUUUAUCAUAAGCACAAUGCGUCGCUUAUAGUGUAAUUCUUUUGAGUCCCAAUUGUAAUGAGCCAUGGGGCUUGGUGCUUCCUCCAAUUUUUUUAUAAUCUUACUAGUAUCUGAAUCUUCCUGCCAUUCCAUCUUAAUAUCCUCAAUGAAGUCGCUGGUCGGAAGUGAAACGGCCGAAACUUCAACUUGCUCGGGUAGCUUCGAAAGCGCAUCUGCAAGAACAUUCUCUUUCCCCUUUUUGUAAGUUAUUUCAAAAUCAAAUCCAAGAAAUUUUGUUACCCAUAUUUGCUGCUCAAGGGAUGGUAUCUUUCGCUCGAAAAAGUACUUGAGGCUUUUAUGGUCGGUUUUAUUUUGAAAUCGUCGACCAAUCAAGUAAGGUCUCCACCUCGUUGCUGCGUGCACAAUGGCGAGCAUCUCCUUAUCAUAUGUUGACUUAUUUUGAUGGGAGGGAGAUAAUGCCUUGUUAAUGUAUGCGAGUGGUCGACCAUCUUGCAUGAGAAUGGCUCCAAUUCUGACUCCAGAUGCGUCGGCCUCAAUAAUGAAGGGUCGGUUAAAAUCUGAUAGUGUUAGCACCGACGUCGUCGUCAUGGCUGCCUUAAGUUUGUCGAAGGCAGCGGAGGCUCUGUCCGACCAUUGAAAGACAUCUUUUUUCAGAAAGGAAGUAAGUGAUGCACUUAUCUCGCCAUAGUUUUUCACGAACUUGCAGUAGUAGCCUGUUAAAUCCAGAAAGUCAUGUAGCAAUUUUACGUUCCUCGGGGUAGGCCAGUUUUGCAUUGCUUCAAUUUUGAAGGGGUCCACUGUCACACCUUCCUCUGAUAUGAUAUGCACAAGAUAUUCCACCUUCUGUUGAAGAAAGCAAAAAUUCGUAAUGGUUGUUGUGUGUUCAAAAGGUGGUUUUCGGUAUGUCUUCUUCGCAGACUCAUAUUUGAUGAUACCCGGAUCAAAGGUCCAGCUUUGUAAAGAUUUGUGCUCCCUUUCAUCUAGUAAUUCAUCUGCUAUUGGAAUAAGGUAUUUGUCCUUGAUGGUUAUGCCAUUGAGAGCUUGGUAAUCAACGCAUAUUCGCCAUGUUCCGUCCUUCUUGCGUACAAGUAGCACCGGUGAAGAAUAGAGGUUGCAACUUGGCCGAAUAACUCUUGUUUUGAGCAUUUCUUUUACAAUCUUUUCUAUUUCAUCCUUCUGGAGAUAUAGAUAUUGAUAUGGCCGAGUAUUUGCUGGAGGUUUGCCUGAAAGAAUCAUUAUAUAAUGAUCAUGCCGACGGGUAAGAGGUAGGUUGUACGGUUCGUCAAAUAUAUCUGAAAAUUCAGCAAGCAAAGGAAGUAGGUUUGGAUUUUCAAAUUGUAUUGGCUCUCUCUUAGUUUGCUGCUCAUGUUGUAUAAAAAAUAUGCUGCAUGCUUUAUGCAAAACCUUCUCCAUUUGUUAUGUGCAAAUCGUCGUUAUGCCGCCCCCACGUUUCCCGUUCAGUAUCACCUGUUUCUCCUUACUGUAAAAUUUCAUAAUUAGUUGCAUAAAAUUCCAAGAAAUAUCACCUAAUGUCGUCAACCAUUUAAUUAUGAACAUGGCCUAAUGAUCAUCAGGAGGGAGAAGGAAGAAAUAUGUAAUUAUCUCUUGGUCCUACAACAAUAGUUUCUCCUACGGGCGCCUACGAUCACAAUUCAAAAUCCGUCCGUCGACGACCUUAACGUCAAACCUGCUGCAAUUCUCAAUAGGUAAGGCCAUCUGGAUAGUAACCUUACUGUUUAUAAAGCUAUUAGAACUGCCUGUGUCGAUGAGAACAGUGAUCGGUUGUUGUUUGAGAAGGCCUCCAACUUUCAUCGUUUCCGGGUUUGAGUAGCCGGCUAGUGCAUGUACCGUAACUUCAGUCGGUUGUGGCUCUCUUCUGGAUGUUCAACGACCUCUUCUUCUAUUGGUUCAAUCAUAAGAAGUCUCCCUUUACUACAGCUAUGCUCACGGCUCCACGGCUCGUCACAAUGCCAACAUAACCCCUUCGCAUAUCGCUCCCGAAGCUCUUCUCUUGUUAACCUCUUUGGUGUAGGGACUUGGUCGAUAAUAGGGGGGGCUGAGGGCUUCAAUAUUACUGGUUGAGGAGCGACCCUAGUCCUCCGAGCUUCAUGAUUCAAUUGCUCCUCUUGAUGUCGUGCAAAAGAGAUGGCUGCCAUAAGCAUAUACGGUUGUCGCGCUUUAACUUCUCCUCGGAUCUCUGGCUUCAAGCCCUCAAUGAAGGUCCUCAAUAGCUGUUUUUGAGACCAAUCAUGAGUUUGAUUAGAUAACCUUCCAAACCUGGUUUGGUACUCUUGAAUGGUGGAGGUUUGUCGGAUCUUUGCUAGUUGUCCGUCAAUAUUCUCGUAAUCGGUUGGUCUGAAGCGGAUCAGCAAUCCUUCUUUGAAUUGUCGCCAUGAAAGGACUCCAUAAGUAUGUUCAAACCAAUCAAACCACUGUAUAGCAUCCCCUUCAAGAUGUAUAGCUGCAAUUUUCACCAUAGAUGCAUCCACGAUUUUAUAGUACCGAAAAUAUCGCUCCGCGCGCGAGAUCCAACCAAUCGGGUCUCCUUCUUCCCAUCUAGGGAAGUCCACUUUCAUGCAUGGAUAGUUGGGGUUGGUCAUAGAGCUUCCCCUCUCUUGGAAAUCAUAUCUUUGGGCUCGGUGCGAUUGGGCAAAGCUCUCUCCUUGAUGUGAUUUCUUCGGGCUUAGUGGUCGACCCAAUCUGAGUUCGGUAAAGAGCGUCCGAAUCUUAUCCUCCAUUCGUGCCUCGAAGGCUUCGAAUUUAGCAUUGAUUACCUCCUCAGAUCCCAUAGUAUAUGCCACCAAAUCUGUGAUGUUAAGAUCUCUCUUUUGUUGUUGGGUUAAAAGCAUGUAUUGGUUGAGAGAGCUGAUGGUCGAAAGGGUUGGUAGAUCGGUGGAUGUAAGCUACGGUUUAGGCUUGUUUUGUGACUAAUUUGGGUGCAGUUUGAGGGUGUGGUUUGGUGGAGUUUUAGGGCUGUAGAUGAAAGUUUUGGAUCUGUGGUAGAUGGUAGCAAAGGUUUGAUAGAAAUCAGUGGAAGUUGCAACAAGUAUGUGCUGUCUUGUAAGAGUAGAAUUGUCGUCGAAGAAACAACGGUUUCUCGACGUAAAUUCCACCAAAAACUUGAGAGAAUUGAGGAGGGAAUUAAUAGCAAAAUCACAGUUUAUAUGACAGCAAGAAUAUCUAAUUUAAUCAAGAAAAUUUCGACAGUAUAACUGCAAGGAAAUUGGUGCAAGUUGCGAUUGCAGAAUUCUCGUCGAGAAAUUUCAACGGGUUAUGAUGAAAAUUUGCAGCAACACAAAAUCAUUUUUAGAGAUGAAUUUCUUAAUAGAUCAAUCAUAGAUGGAAGCCAAGAUGAUCUAUGAAGUGUAUAAGAAAUUUCAUUCAAAAAAGAUCGCAAAUAGAUGGGUUAAGGCAAUAAUAUGCGGUUGAAAUUUUCUGCAGCACAGAUUUUUAAGUAUGGCAGAUUGGAUGUAAAAGAUCUGUAGGUUAUGUUGAGAAUUUUUUGAUGAAACCAAAGGGAAAUCCACUAUUAGGAAGUGUCAAAGCUAUCAUAAAAAUUUCGUAAAGAUUUGGAUAGAAACAACGUAGUAUCAAGAUCAAACAAACAGUGCUAUGUUGCUGAAAUUUUAUAGUGCAGAUUUUCAAGUAUAGCAGAUGAGACGUAAAAUAUCAAUGGUUUAUAUUGAGAAUUUUUUGACAAAACCAAAGGAAAAUCUGCUGUUAGGAAGUGUCAAAGAUGUCAUAAAAAUUUUGAAGAGAUUUGGAUAGAAAAAACACAGUAGCAAGAUCAAAAAGACGGUUCUAUACGAUUGGAAUUCUGCAAUGUAUUGUUCGUCAUAGAGAUGAAAACUUUAUGACGAAAAGUUUAUGCAGCAAUAUAGGAAUAAUUUUUUUGGGAUUUUCAAAUAAGGAUAACUAAAUUACAGCAACAGUAAGGUAGAAAACCAGAACCUGUUGCAAUUCACGGGGAGAUCAAAGGAUGAUCCGUGGUGGUGGAGAUGAUGGCGGAAUUUGGCAACGAUCUCUUAAGCAAUUGUGGGAAUUGCUUUGGGCGGUUGUGGAGAGUUGAUGGAUGGCUAUGGAAGGGCAGCGAGACGCCAAGAACGCUGCUCUGAUACUAGGUGUUAGUACCCUUGCAGAUUCUAAACUUGGGAUUGAUCUCUUUAGGGGAUCGGCCUCCUUGAAACUCUAUAGGGGUUCCUCCCUCCAAAUUGCUGCUCAAAGGCUGCAGAAAAGAUUCAUCUAUUCCUUAUCAAAAGAGGUGGAAUACAUGACUAUUUAUAGGGCUUCUAAACCCUAUCUCCUAAUAGGACUCUUACUUAAGACUCCUACUUCUAAACAACUCCUAAUAGGAC
rnacentral:lncRNA from 1 species